AAAAUAGAUUUGAAUAUAACAUUGUGUAAAUUUAAGGUGUACAACAUAUUGAUUUGAUAUUUUAAUAUAUUAUAAUUGUCAUUUAAGUGAUAAUGAACACUUCUGUCAUGUCACAAUUAUCAUUUCUUCUUGGUAGCUGGAAUAAUUAAGACUAGUCUCUUAGCAAGUUUGAGGAUUAUCAUAUAGUAUAGUGAAUAUAGAAAACAAUAUUUUACUGUAAUUGCUAGUUAACUUUUAGGAUUGUAGACUGAACAAUAAUAUUCCUAUGGUGAGUCACAGACUCCUUUUCAAUUCACCCAAAAUUAUAAUAUAAUACACACACACUAUCUGUAAAAUGAUAGCAGUUCCUAUCUUUUUAGCAAAAAUAGAAAUGAGAUAUAAAACCAUAUUUUAUUUAUUGAUUACUUAAACCAAUGAAUGCUUGAAUUUGUCUUCAUCCUUCAGUAAGACAGAAAAAAAAUGCGAAUCAGAAGAAUUCAGCUUUCCUGAAUAUACGUAAGUCUUUUUUUAAGCCAUACUAUAACAAAUAAAAUUAUAAUCUUUAGAUAGAAAUAAAUUUUUUAAUUAAUUAAGGGAUCGAUCCAAAUUAUUAUGCACUUCAUCUUCCUGACAUGUUUGCCUCACAUAUUUGUCUGUAGGAAUAGGUUCAUUGUCUCAAAUACCUUUUCUUUAGCAUUUACAUUGUCCUCGGUAGUUUAGCUAGUGUCAAACCUUGACUUUAACCCAAAGUAAAAUUAAAAAUAAAUUUGACCAUAACAUUAUAUAGAGUCUAAAGUUAAGGUAGAAACUAGUAUCAAAAUGAUGCCAAGGCAUUUUCAAGCUUAAUAAUGAAAGCUAAAAGAGAGAAAGUAUGCUUCUAAAAUAAGUUUGGGGAUGUUACUACUAACUACUGUGAAAAAAUCAUUCUCUCUGGAUAUUUCAGGAUGAUUACCUUUCCUUGUGCCCGUCAAUUCUUGCUUGGCAGUGGGUUGAGUUGGCCUCUUGACUGUAGAGAAGACCCAAGCAACUUCAUUGAUAGCAGGCUAAUCUGAGUAUGUCUGCUGUGUGCUUGAAGUACAGUAUUUUUGAUAGAAGUCACAAGGCCCACAAGUAAUCCGGGUUAAGCGAGGUGGUUAUCCUGUUAUUGAAAUUCUAGCUAACACAAGGCAACAGAAAUAAUGAAGAUGUCAGCUCUGGAUACUCCCAAGCUAAAUGAGAUGGCAGGUGCUGUGGAUUUGACAGAUGGGUUCGUACAUCUUUCUGUCUUGAUUGGUUGUCAGUGACAAAUACCUUCUCAUCUCAGUUUUCUAUCUUUAAAGUGAAAAUAAAGAUAAUUAUAUCCGAAUUGGGAAUAAAGUGAAAUGAAACGUAUAAAAACAUCAUAAUACAGUCCAACUUCAUAAAUGAUGGUUUCAUCAGUGUCAAAGCUGAAGCUUUGAGUAAAUGAGACCUCUUCCUGCCACACAGCCUCAGGCUUCCUCAGAUAAUUAGCUUUCUCAACCAAUAUAAAGGUGUACAAAACCACCUUACAUAGUAAUUAGAAUCAGACAGGGGCUUAAUAUCAGUUAAAUCUGAAAAUGAGUAGGGAAUUUUGAAGUCAAGCAGUGUCCAGAGGGAGUAAUUAUUCUUUCUGAUUAGUGAUCUAACUUCACCCUCCACACAACCCCCCAAGUGCUAACUAACAAGCUGUGAUUCUGGCUGAAUUCAAGCAAGAGAAGCUGCUGUUCCAUUGCUGUGUUAACUUUAAUUCAAAUGCAUAGAAUCUUAUUAAAUCGAGAACACCCUUGCCUAACAGAGCAAAAAUUAUAGAUAAAGAACCCUCUCUCCAAAGUCUUCAGCACAUGGUUGUCCUUCAAAGAGCAAGGAUAACCACAGGAAGAGCAACCAGGGUGUUUUGCCCAUUAAGGGGUCACGAGUGGCCUUCAGAAGCUGGAUAGUCUGCCAUAUGAAAGAAAGUUUAGUUUCAUUUGGGGGAACUCGAUGGCAGCAGUGAACAGUAAUAUAUCAAGGCAUUAAAAUAAUCUAUAAGGAAAAAAUGCUUCAAGUUAAAAACACCUAUGUCUGCAGAUAUUCAAGAUAUUGCAUGACCACAGACUGAGGUGGAACAGAGGGGAUUUUUCUGUAGCCGACAGAAUGGUUUUGAUGAUCUCUCUGUACACUUUCAACUGUAAUUCUCUCAGACUGGGUAUUAAAUGGGGAUGAAAAUUCCUACCAGAACAAGUUUAGCAAUUAAUGUAAUAAAAAUCCCUUGAGUUUAUUCUCAUUAAAGGAUUAGAAUUAAUGGUAAGGAAAUGCACAUGGUAAGCCAGGCUAUGGGAAGCAACAGUAGGAGACUAACUCACUGUUACCUCAAUGCGAGAGCAGAAGUAUCUUGUUCCACAUCUUAUUUACUCAUCUUGUAAUAUAUACAAAUUUGAUCUAUAUUAGAAAUAGACAGUUUGUAGAAAUUCAAUACACUCACUUUCUUUGGGCAUUAUCACUCUUUUGUGUGUGUGUGUGAAUUGAAAACUAUAAGAAAUGCUCUAGCCAUUAUUAGGCUUACAGGCAUGUCAAAGCUAAGGAAGAAUUUUUAUUUUAAGAAAUCCUCUGAUGUCUUCCCUCUAAGGGAAUGUAUGCAGACAAAUUUCUGGAUUUCUUCAAAGCCUCCGUAAAUGUUGUAUAUCCAACUAGAAGUGACUUUAGUAACUGUGGAUUCCUGCAAAAAAAGUUAGAAACCUAUGUGUCAACGUUUUAUAGAAUCCUAGUGGUUGUCAAUUCACCAGUCUCCAUGGCACACUUGACCCCCAGCUGUUAAAAGGAAAGUGGUCAUAAAGUUCUCAUGCCCAGAGUCAGCAUCAGCAAGGCCCAGAAGUCAUGGCCAGACAGUGCCAUGUCCACCACACUCUUCCCUGGAAUGGACCUUGCUUACUCUGGCACCAAGUAUGUGCUUAAUAAAUACUUACUGAGUGAACAAAUUAGGCUUUUGAGAAAUUGCUUUGGCUAUGUCCUGGUGUCUUUAUCAGUUAAACCUAGCAUGAAACUCAAAAGGCAAUUGCUGAGAAUCCCUAUUUAUUACC